CCUUCGAUAGCUCAGUUGGUAGAGCGGUGGACUGUAGAGUAAAAUUUCGCAUGGAAUGCACAUGAUUUCAUGUGGAAAAUGCCCAGAAAUCCAUAGGUCGCUGGUUCAAAUCCGGCUCGAAGGA
rnacentral:tRNA from 1 species